GGGUUAGAGAAAUUACUGGUGGAGGAAUUCACAAUCUUCUGCAGCAACUUCACCUGCUACUUCAUCAUCAUAUUUACUUUCGAUACUGAUUAGAAGAGAAAGGGGAAGAAGGGAAAGAUAAAGGAAAAAUGCGUAGAAGAAGAUUACAAGAUUUAAGUAUUGUCCAGAAUACUCCAAAUUCGGAAGAAGGAAAUAGUGAACAGUAGACAGUUGUUGGAUCUUCGAAUGUGCCAGAGACACUUGACGAGCCUGAAGAAUUUCAAAGUAAUGUUAAGUUCAUUUUAGAUGUGUUGACCUUUAUUAUUGAUUUAUUUAUCAAUUUUAAUAUAAUUAUAG